UAGGGAAUCUUCGGCAAUGGGGGGAACCCUGACCGAGCAACGCCGCGUGAGUGAAGAAGGUUUUCGGAUCGUAAAGCUCUGUUGUUAAGGAAGAACGAGUGUGAGAAUGGAAAGUUCAUGCUGUGACGGUACUUAACCAGAAAGGGACGGCUAACUACGUGCCAGCAGCCGCGGUAAUACGUAGGUCCCGAGCGUUGUCCGGAUUUAUUGGUCGUAAAGCGAGCGCAGGCGGUUAGAAAAGUCUGAAGUGAAAGGCAGUGGCUCAACCAUUGUAGGCUUUGGAAACUGUUUAACUUGAGUGCAGAAGGGGAGAGUGGAAUUCCAUGUGUAGCGGUGAAAUGCGUAGAUAUAUGGAGGAACACCGGUGGCGAAAGCGGCUCGCUGGUAUGUAACUGACGCUGAGGCUCGAAAGCGUGGGGAGCGAACAGG
rnacentral:rRNA from 1 species